GUCCUGGCAGUAAACGGUGCGCGUUUGGUGUGGGGGGAUUCGACAAUCUCCGCGCCGGAGCUAACGCGUUAAACGCGCCGCCUGGGAAAUACGGUCGCAAGAUUAAAACUCAAAGAAAUUGACGGGGGCCCGCACAAGCGGUGGAGUAUGUGGCUUAAUUCGAUGCAACGCGAAGAACCUUACCUAGGCUUGACAUGCAUCGCUAAGUUGGUGAAAGCCAGCGAGCCCCGCAAGGGGCACUUUGCACAGGUGCUGCAUGGCUGUCGU
rnacentral:rRNA from 1 species